UGACCUCGGAUUAGGUAGGAAUACCCGCUAAACUUAAAUAUAUUAAUAAGUAGAGGAAAAGAAACUAAUAGGGAUUACCCUAAUAACAAUGAAUAAAGCAAUAACAAUUUAAAUUUAAAAUUUAACUUCGGCCCGAAUUAUAAUUUAUAGAAGAAGCUUUUAGUAAGGCACCUUCUAAAUCCCCUAAAACGGGGCGCUAUAAAAGGUAAAAGCCUUAUAUAGUCGGAUACUAAUCUAAUAUAAAGCUCCUUCGAUAAAUCGAAUAAUUUAAGAAUAUUAUUUAAAAUAGGAGGUAAAUUUCUUCUAAAACUAAAUACCGGCUAGAGACUGAUAACGUAUAAGUAGAAUAAUUGAAAAAUAAAAAGCACUUUAAAAAGAGGGUUAAAUAGUAUAUAAAAUUAUUAAAAGGGAAGUAUUUGUAACUAGACUUACGCUAUUCUAAUUAUUUAGUAUUCUUAUUAGUAUAUUUGGAACGGUUUAAACCAAUAUUGGUUUUAAUAGGGGGAUAAAGGUCCAAGGAACGUAACUCUUUUAAGAGUAUUAUAGCCCCGGGCGUAAUGCCCUCGCUGGGACUGAGGUUCGUAUAUUUAUAAGGAUACUAGCGUAAUAAUUAUUAAUAACCCGUUUUAAAAUACGGACUAAAGAAUUAAAGUUUUAUACGAAUAUUUAAAUAUAAAACCCGUACGCAUAAUGAAAGUAAAUGUAGGUAAGAGUUUUAGCGUAUUAUCGACCGAUUUUAAUAUAUUUAGAUAGAUUUAAAUAAGAAUAUUAAACCUUAGACCCGAAAGAUAGUGAAUUAUAUUUAAAUAGGGUAAAGCUAGAAGAAACUCUAGUAGAAGUUUGUAAUAGUUCUAACGUAUAAAUUAAUUAUCAAAUUUGAAUAUAGGGGCGAAAAAUUAAUCGAACUAUUUAAUAACUAAUUACUACUAAAGUUUCCUUUAAAAUAAUAGUAUUAUUCUUUAAUUUUAUAAAGUAAAGCGAAUAAUUAGGGAUUUGGGGGCGCUUUUUAGCCUUUAUCUAUUCUCAAACUUUAAAUAUAUAAGAAGCCCUUAUUAUUUAAUUAAAUAUAGGUAUUUAAAUAUAUUAAUAUUAGUAGGCCAUUUUUAAUAAGUAAAAUUAGUAAUAUAGAAUAAACCGAACGCGGGGUUAAGGUACUAGAAUAAACGUUUAUUAAAUACUAUAAAAAGCGUUAGUAUAUUUUAAUAGUAGGAUAGUGGCUAUAAAAAUUAGAAUUUAUUAAAGACUAUAUAAUAAUUUACUUAUUGAAUAUAUUAACCCUAAAAAUAGAUAGCGCUUAAGCGUUCUACCUAUACCCCGCCCUUAAGGUAAAAAUAAUACCCUAAAGAGUAGGCGGUUGUAAAGGUUAGUAAUGAAGUUUAGGGCGUAAGCCCGGGUCGAACGGCCUCUAGUACAAAUUUUAGUAGUAGUAAUAAAUAUUUUAAUAAGAAUUUGAAGGACCGAAGUAGGAAAAGGUUCUAUAUAAAUAGCGGUUGGAUAUAGGUUAAUCGAUCCUAAACUAUAGGGAAAUUUUAUUUUAAAGGGGUAUUUAUACCCUAUAUAGCAAAAGGAAAGCUAAUUAAUAUUCCGGUACCUAAAUAUAGGUUUUAUAUAGUAACACAAUUGAACAUAGAAAUAAUAGCGGGGGCCCUGGGUAGAAUUCUCUUUUCUUCUUAAUAAUUUAUUACCUUAAAAAUAAUUUAUCUAGAAAUAGGGUUUAAUAGCCGGAAGAGCCCGAUACUUCUAUCGGGUCUAGUAUAUUUUCAACGUCCUUUAAAAAUCUAUAGGAGGGAAUAAUUCUUACGCUAAAUCGUAUUUAUAACUGUAAUAAGUUUUUAAAAUAAAUAACCUCUAAUUAAUAGAAUAAUAUAAAUAAAGGAAAUCGGCAAAAUAGAUCCGUAACUUCAAGAAAAGAAUUAAUUCUAAAGGUUAGGUACAUCGGGCUUUAAAUAAACGCCCUAAGAGUAGAUCGCUACUAGCCGGGUAAUUAGCCGGCGGCUUUCAAUAUCUAAAUAUAGAAGCCUUUAAUAAACUUCGGUUAUCUAAUAUACGUUUAACAACCAAUUUAGAACUAGUACAGAUAAGAGGAAUCUAAUUAUUUAAUUAAAAUAUAGUAUUAUAAUAGUUAAAAAGUAGUAUUAAUAUAAUAUAAUUUCUACCUAGUAUUCUAAAUAUUAAAAUAAAGAAAUUCAAUUAAGCGUGGGUAAAUAGCGGAAGUAACUAUAAUUCUCUUAAAGUAACUAAAUAUUUUAUUAUUUAAUUAGUAAUAAGUAUAAAUAGAUUAACGAAAUUCCUACUAUCCCUAUCUACUAUCUAACGAAACUACAGCCAAAGGAAUAGGUUUAAUAGAAUUAACGGGGAAAGAAAACCCUAUUAAAUUUAACUCUAAUUUAAUAUUAUAAAAAGAUAUAGGAGGUAUAGAAUAAGUAGGAGCUUCGGCGCCGAUAAAAUACUACUACUCCUAUUAUUUUUUUACUUAUUCAAUUAAAUAGGGCUAAAUUUUCGUCCAACUUCUAAUUUUAAGGUCCUUCGCAGGCCGACUUAGGUUAAAGAUAUUAUUAAAUAGGGAGUUUAACUAGGGCGGUAUAUUUAUUAAACUAUAAUAUAAAUAUCCUAAAGGGGGCUUAUAGAGAAUAAAAAUCUUUAGUAGAAUAAAAAAGUAAAAGUCCCUUUAAUUUUAAUUUUUAAUAUAAAUACAAACUAUAAAAGUAUAGCUUAUUAAUCCUUUAGUCCCUCGAAAUUUAAAGUUAGAGGUACUAGAAAAGUUACUAUAGGGAUAAUUAGCUUAUAGUAACUAAACAUUUAUAGUAAUAUUACUUUUUAAUCCUUCAAUAUCGGCUCUUCUUAUUAUACCGAAGUAGAAUUCGGUAAAUAUUAGAUUAUUUACUUACUAAUAGGGAAUGUAAAUUAAGUUUAAACUAUUAUAAAAUAGGUUAAUUUUACUCUACUAAUAACUUUAUUACAAUAGUAAUUAAACUUAGUACGAAAAGAACUAUUUAUUUAAAUAAUUGGUUUUUACGGUUAUUCGACCGGGUAGUACUAUAAUACUACUAUUUACUAAAUAAUAGUUAAACGCCUCUAAAUUAGAAUCUAUAUUAGAAUAUAAUAAUACCUCUAGUAUAUUAUAAAUAUAUAAAAAUAAACUCCGGCCUCGUAUCUUAGUAAGCGAUUCCUCUAUUAGCCUUAAAGUAGCUAACGGUAAUUCGUAUAUUGUAAUUUUAAUAUAUACUAAAUCAAAUUCUUUAUAAAUAAUUUAAAUAUAUAAAAGGGUCCUAUAAGUAAUAGAAUAGCCUUAUUAUUACAAUCUACUAAGGGUAAACCCUCCUUCGCCUAAAUUUCU
rfam:Neurospora crassa OR74A unplaced genomic scaffold supercont12.9, whole genome shotgun sequence.